UCCGGUUUGUCACCGGCAGUCUCGCAUGAGUCCCCAACUAAAUGCUGGCAACUAAUGGCGAGGGUUGCGCUCGUUGCGGGACUUAACCCAACACCUCACGACACGAGCUGACGACAGCCAUGCAGCACCUGUGUUCAGGCCCAUUGCUGGGAGGAAUCCAUCUCUGGAAACCGACCUGACAUGUCAAGAGCUGGUAAGGUUCUUCGCGUUGCGUCGAAUUAAACCACAUGCUCCACCGCUUGUGCGGGCCCCCGUCAAUUCCUUUGAGUUUCAACCUUGUGGCCGUACUCCCCAGGCGGGACACUUACUGCGUUAGCUGCGGCACCGGCGGUAACCCGCCGACACUUAGUGUCCAUCGUUUAGGGCGUGGACUAC
rnacentral:misc_RNA from 1 species